rnacentral:rRNA from 1 species
AUGGAGAAGUAUGGUGUGGAUGUGCCCAAGUCAAUGGCAUAUAGGGCAAAGAACCUAGCUAUUGAUGUUGUGCUAGGAGACCACAAGAAGCAAUACCCUAGGUUGAAAGACUAUGCUCAGACAGUGAUGGAUACAAACCCUGGGAGUAGAGUAGUAGUCACUACUGUAACUCCAACACCCACUGAAAAAAUCCCCCAUCCAGGUCCAAGAUUCCAUGCUAUGUUCUAUUGCAUCAAUGGAGCAAGGGAGGGGUUUCUCAAGGGGUGCAGACCAUUCAUUGCUGAGUGUGAGCAAGCUUGGAAGUGGCUUUGUCAAAUACCCAAGAAAACAUGGGCAAGGCAUGCAUUUGACACAAACUGCAAGACUGACCUUGUAGUUAACAAUUUAUCUGAGGUGUUCAACAAGUAUGUCCUAGAUGUUAGGAAGAAACCAAUUAGGACAAUGUGUGAUGGAAUAAAGGAUAAGCAGAUGGUGAGGUGGCAUAGGAAUAGGGAGAGUGGAAAGAAAGCUAGAUGGGACAUAACACCCCAUUAUAGUGAGAAGCUAGAGGUUGAGAAGGAGAGGGCCAAAUAUUGCAAACCAAUUCAAGCUGGUGUGGACUUGUGGCAAGUUACAAGUGGGCAGCAAACCCAUGCUGUUAACUUGCAAAUGCACACAUGUGGGUGCAGAAAAUGGGACCUAAGUGGCAUCCCAUGUAACCAUGCCAUCUCAGCAAUAAACAAGGCCAAAAGAAAACCAGAGGAUUAUGUCAGCAAGUUCUUCAAGAAAGAAAUUUAUCUGGCAGCUUAUGAACCAAUGAUCUAUCCAGUUCCUGGUGAGCAUGACUGGACAAGGACCCCUGGUCCAGACAUUGACCCACCUGCAUUUAAAGUGAAGAGAGGAAGAAAGAAAGAGAAGAGGAUCAAGGGGAAAUUUGAAGUUCCAAAGCCUAAGGAGACAUCAAGAAUGGGGACUAUAACAUGUGGCAAUUGUGGACUGCAAGGACAUAGGUACACAGGCUGCAACAAGCAGUUGAAGCCUGAGCUGGCUUUGAGGAAGAACAAACAUGUGAUACUUCAUGUGUGUUCUUGCAUCCUAUGGUACAAUGUGAUCUUGCUGGUGCUCUCAGUGUACUUUGCUGGUGCUCUUAUUGGUUUUGGUGGCUCGGGGUCGACGGAACCACCUAAAGGCAUCAACUACGGUCUAGGGUGGCUCGGGGUCGACGGAACCACCUAA